UACGAAGGGGGCUAGCGUUGCUCGGAAUCACUGGGCGUAAAGCGCACGUAGGUGGGUCGCUAAGUCGGGGGUGAAAUCCUGGAGCUCAACUCCAGAAUUGCCUUCGAUACUGGCUUUCUAGAGGCUGGAAGAGGUUAGUGGAAUUCCCAGUGUAGAGGUGAAAUUCGUAGAUAUUGGGAAGAACACCAGUGGCGAAGGCGGCUAACUGGUCCAGAUCUGACGCUGAGGUGCGAAAGCGUGGGGAGCAAACAGG
rnacentral:rRNA from 1 species